GGCUUAACCGGUUGUUCACUUCGUUAUCCACAACGUCGCCAUUGUUGUUAUUCUUCAUUAGAUCUCCAAUCAUUUCAUCAUCACCAAUAAUCUCAUCACUAAAGAAAAAAAAUUAGGGUUUUGUUUUUUUUUGGUUACCCCCAAAAUUAAAAAUCAAAACUUUAGGGUUGGUUUGGGAUUUAAAGAAGGAGAAAAAAAUGGGUUUUUGUUUUUGUUUUGUUUACCCACUGUACUUUGUAAGCAUUGAUGAUGAAUACCCUCAGAGGAAAAACCAAAAGAAGAAAAAAAAUGUGUUUUUUUUUAAAAUUAAUUUAGGGUUUUUGAUAUUUCACCAUCAAAGUCAGUAGAUACAGCUUCGUAUAAGCUUUGUCUGCAGCUGCUGUUGUUUGUUGCAGAGAGUCAUCAAAAGCACUGUGUCUGAAAUGAUUUUUAACCACAAGCCUGCAAUAACAAAAACAAAGAAACAAUCUCAUAAGAACAAAUCUUUACACAUAUAUAUAUACAUAAAUGCUUAUAUAUAUAUAUAUAUAUGUUACAUCCUUAUCGACUUUUUCUACAGAUGACUUUCAUUCAUAUAUACACAUAAUUAAGAUAUCAGUUAUUCUGAUUCGAAUUUAUGCUCUACUCAUUGUAGAUCUGACAUAUCACAACAAUUGAUAAAACGGGUUUAAAGUUAAUGAUCGUGAUUAAAGAAGAAGGAGCUAGAAGAAGAAUCAGAAGCUAUGAUAAAUAAUUAAGCUGAAUCAACUGCUUUCGGCUGAAGCGAUUAUCAAUGGAGGGCUUUAAAGAGUAAGAAGACAAAAAAUGCAGAAAUCGAGUUUUAAGCUUUUCUUCUCUAUAUAAAGAUUUUGGUGUUUCUAAUUAUGAAAGAAAAAGAGUUGUUUC
rnacentral:lncRNA from 1 species